GAUGAACGCUGGCGGCGUGCUUAACACAUGCAAGUCGAACGAGAAAUGAUAUUACGAUCUCUUCGGAGUGACGGUUUUAUUUCGAGUGGCGGACGGGUGAGUAACGCGUGAGCAACCUGCCCUAUACCGGGGGAUACCAGUUGGAAACGACUGUUAAUACCGCAUAAGCGCACGAUAAGACAUCUUGUUGUGUGAAAAACUCCGGUGGUAUAGGAUGGGCUCGCGUAUGAUUAGCCAGUUGGCGGGGUAAAGGCCCACCAAAGCGACGAUCAUUAGCCGACCUGAGAGGGCGACCGGCCACAUUGGGACUGAGACACGGCCCAAACUCCUACGGGAGGCAGCAGUGGGGAAUAUUGCACAAUGGGCGAAAGCCUGAUGCAGCGACGCCGCGUGAGUGAGGAAGUAUUUCGGUAUGUAAAGCUCUAUCAGCAGGGAAGAAAGAAAUGACGUACCUGAUAAGAGCU
rnacentral:rRNA from 1 species